rnacentral:sRNA from 1 species
CAGUGUUGUUAGAGAUCAGAAUCUCUCUAAUGUGUGGACAGUUGAAUAUGCACUUGAAUUACUAUUUAUUGGUGGCCUGGUUCCAGAGGCUGUGUGGUUGGCAUAUAAACUUGGAGACUGGAAGACGUCUGUUUCAAUUGGUGUGGCUUUCCAGCUGUUCUGUAAACAUGAUAGCAAUUUCAUGAGGUCCAAGAAAAAGAGUCUGAAUCUACCACUGUGUAUGACUCCAGCACAGAUUUUUCAGGAAAAACUGCAGUGUUUUUUAGGUCAACCAGCCUCUUUGGAAGCAAAAAAUGAAAUGGGCUCAAAAUAUAAACAGUUUACAGGUGUGUUAUGUAUGUAUGGUCUGACUCGUGUCAGAUUAAUAUAAACCUUAUAAUACCUUAAAAAGUUUAUACAUGUCUACAAAUGUAUUAACACUUUGAAAUAAACUUAUCAAAAAUGAAA